rnacentral:rRNA from 1 species
GCCUUUAGUAAAAAUUAAAGGUGAUACCUGCCCAGUGGAAGUUUAUAUAAAAUUAUGAUCUGAUUUAAAUACUUCUAAACGGAUGCGGUAACUCUGACUGUAAUAAAGUAGCAUAAUAAGUUGUCAUUUAAAUUUGGUGGAGAGAAUGAAUGGUUAAACGAACGUUUCAUUUGUCUUAGGGGAGAGUUUUUGAAAUUGGAAAAUCAGUGAAGAUCCUGAUUUUCACCGUUAGACGAAAAGACCCUAUAGAGCUUGACUAUACUCCAUAACUUAUCUUUUAUGGAUUGGUAGUUUAGUUGGGGCGACUAUCUUUUAUAAUAAACAAAGAUAAGCAUAAUAAUAAUUUUUCAUUUUACUGUUUAAUUAAUAAAUUUAACAGUUAUUAAAGUAGGCUAUAAUGACCCAUUAGGUAUAAAAAAUUGACUUAAUGAUUAAUAAAUAAAAGCUACCUUAGGGAUAACAGGAUAAUUUUGUUUUAGAGAUCAAAUCAAAUACAAAGUUUGUCACCUCUAUGUUGAAUUAAGAUAUCCGAGCAAUGCAGAAGUUGCUUAAGGUAGGUCUGUUCGACCUUUAAAAU